rnacentral:rRNA from 1 species
AUUGAACGCUGGCGGCAGGCCUAACACAUGCGAGUCGAGCGGAUGAAGGGAGCUUGCUCCUGGAUUCAGCGGCGGACGGGUGAGUAAUGCCUAGGAAUCUGCCUGGUAGUGGGGGAUAACGUCCGGAAACGGGCGCUAAUACCGCAUACGUCCUGAGGGAGAAAGUGAGGGAUCUUCGGACCUCACGCUAUCAGAUGAGCCUAGGUCGGAUUAGCUAGUUGGUGGGGUAAAGGCCUACCAAGGCGACGAUCCGUAACUGGUCUGAGAGGAUGAUCAGUCACACUGGAACUGAGACACGGUCCAGACUCCUACGGGAGGCAGCAGUGGGGAAUAUUGGACAAUGGGCGAAAGCCUGAUCCAGCCAUGCCGCGUGUGUGAAGAAGGUCUUCGGAUUGUAAAGCACUUUAAGUUGGGAGGAAGGGCAGUAAGUUAAUACCUUGCUGUUUUGACGUUACCAACAGAAUAAGCACCGGCUAACUUCGUG